UACGUAGGUGGCAAGCGAUACUCGGAAUCACUAGGCGUAAAGCGCAGGUAGGCGGCUUGAUAAGUCUUUUGUGAAAGCUCCCGGCUUAACUGGGAGAGGUCAAAGGAAACUGUCAGGCUAGAGUUUGGUAGGGGAUACUGGAAUUCCUGGUGUAGCGGUGAAAUGCGUAGAUAUCAGGAGGAAUACCUAUGGCGAAAGCAGGUAUCUGGGCCACACUGACGCUGAGCUGCGAAAGCUAGGGGAGCAAACAGG
rnacentral:rRNA from 1 species